CCUACGGGAGGCAGCAGUGAGGAAUAUUGGUCAAUGGACGAGAGUCUGAACCAGCCAAGUAGCGUGAAGGAUGACUGCCCUAUGGGUUGUAAACUUCUUUUAUAUGGGAAUAAAACGUUCCACGUGUGGGAUUUUGUAUGUACCAUAUGAAUAAGGAUCGGCUAACUCCGUGCCAGCAGCCGCGGUAAUACGGAGGAUCCGAGCGUUAUCCGGAUUUAUUGGGUUUAAAGGGAGCGUAGGUGGAUUGUUAAGUCAGUUGUGAAAGUUUCCGGCUCAACCGUAAAAUUGCAGUUGAAACUGGCAGUCUUGAGUACAGUAGAGGUGGGCGGAAUUCGUGGUGUAGCGGUGAAAUGCUUAGAUAUCACGAAGAACUCCGAUUGCGAAGGCAGUUCACUGGACUGCAACUGACACUGAGGCUCGAAAGUGUGGGUAUCAAACAGGAUUAGAUACCCUAGUAGUC
rnacentral:rRNA from 1 species